UACGUAGGUGGCAAGCGUUGUCCGGAAUUAUUGGGCGUAAAGCGCAUGUGGGCGGCGGUUUAAGUCUUUCGUGAAACUGCGGUGCUCAGCCCCGUAUGGCGAUGGAAACUGGAUUGCUUGAGUGCAGGAGAGGAAAGUGGAACUCCCAGUGUAGCGGUGAAAUGCGUAGAUAUUGGGAAGAACACCGGUGGCGAAGGCGCCUUUCUGGACUGUGUCUGGCGCUGAGAUGCGAAAGCCAGGGUAGCGAACG
rnacentral:rRNA from 1 species